CGAAGCGAGCACGCUGCUGCUUAUGCUAACUCAAUAGCUGCUGGUGCCUUGUCACACUUGCAGCUUCCUGCCAAACAUUUUGCUUCUGACUUAUUACAGACCACAAUUUUUUUUUUGCCUACCUGCACACUGAAUAUCAUUUGAAUUUGCUUUUCCGGUAAAAAGUGUUUAGAAACACACACAAGACCAUGUAAUCAUGAUGCAAGUAAUUGGGAGGUUGGACAUGUUCGGGCCCAGCCAGUACUUGGAUGGAAGGCCAACCAAAAAAAAACUUGGGUUGGGUUGCUGCUGGAAGAAGUGUUAAUGUGGCCAUCAGGGGGCACCUACUCUGUGGUCUGAAUGUGGAUUCCAAUGCUCCAGGGCAGUAACAAGAAGAUUGUGUUGUAAAAAGGGUGCUGUCCUUUGAAAGAGAUGUAAAAUCGAGAACCUGACUCAUAAAAAAACCCUGGACAUCCUUCGUAAACAUUAGAGUGUAUGGCUAAAUUGUCCACCACGACCUAGUCCAUUUUGGCACCCUACUCAUCCUCCAUCUCUGGCUGGCUAACUAUCUCUCACUCCUUCACCACCACACAGUUAACAUGUGGUAUGCGUACUGCCACAAAAUGGCUUCCGUCGUAUUAUCCAGGUGGGUGCUACACUUUAGCAGUGGUUGAAAUGGCUCCUUACUCACUAUGCAAAGCACAUUAAAUUACUUCUGGCCCAAAA